CAGCUAGACUUGAAAAAUGUAAUUAAUAAUCUCUGUUCUCAGUUGAGCUCUGACUGUUGUUGUUAUUAAUUCUGCUUGACACCAACAGAUCUCCUUCAUGAAGGCUAUCUUUAAACAGUCUGGCUUUCUCUUCAUCAUCUCUGCAUUCUCUCUGAAUAGCUAGUUGGCUAAUGUAGCCUUUCUUGUCAUAAGGCCUGAUGUCUGCUUUAUUUGUUUACAGCUUACUACAUAGAUACUUUAUGUUGUGUUUAAUAGCUUGCAUAGUUCCCUUCUUGUGGCUGCCUGAAUUUGGAAUUGUAUGGAAAUCUCUGGAGAGGGAGGUUGCUCCCUUCCUGAGAUCAUGCUCAGGAGGGACGUGUUUCUGAAAAGUAGACUAUGGCAGCUAGGUUUUGAAGCAGAACAAAUGAAGAGAGCAAGAGACUUACCAGACAGGCAGGUAACAGGCACACGGGGGUCAGGAGGAGGCUGGAGUAUUUAUACACCUAGAAGGGGCAUAGUGGCUGCUCCAUUGAAGCAAGACCGAAGAGGAGAAACUUAGUCUGUAAGGACUUGGUAGGGAGAAAGGAGCGUAAUUUUCAAAACUUUUAAUAUUUGUUUUUUAUUUGACCAGUCUUGAGAGUUUCCUACUUAAAAAUGAUGUUCUACUUCAUGUUUAGAUAUUGCAAGCACUUUGGUGUUUUGGAGCACUCCCUUUAAGGGCAGGCUGUGGGCAGAUCCACCUCAGAAGUGUGCCUGACCUGGUCUCUGCUCAGCUGUGAUCAUAGGGGUUCCUUUGUUUCUUAUAGUCAUGUUUUGUGUCGUGACCUUUUUGCUUGUGCUCCAGCUGCUUGUGCUAUUCUAUUAUGCUCCUCUUUAGUGGUAUGACCUAGUUGGUAAGAUUUUUUUCUGUGUUUGAGGUCAAUGAGGAACUCAUGAUUUAGCAGGGCUAGUCUCAUACAACACUUCUGUCCUUUUACAUGGAAAUGAACAGAAUUUGUGUCCUCAGUUAUUAGUUCUCUCCCAUGCUGCCAACAUUAUCCUUACUAUUUUCUUUUGUGCAUUGAGAACAGCAGUAAUGCCUGAUUCCAAGGAUGAAAGGUCAGAUAAGUCCAUACGGUUCAGUCCCAGCUUUCUCCAGGACAGAGUACUUGCUCUUAAACUCAUGGCUUCUGACUGUAACAUUGUCUGCCUGCAGAUGCUGUUAGCAACCAGCUUCUUCUCUGUGCAGUUGCCGGGUUAUUCUUUACUACUGGCUCCUGUUCUGUAUAGCUGUCCAAGUGGUUUAUAGUGGCCCUGGUAUCCUUUCACAUCCUUCUGAUCACAGGUGUAUCUCUGGCCUUAUCAGUUAGCUCGCUUUCCUUCCUGAAAGUAUAUACUGGCAGGUCUCGUUGCAUCAGACACCUCCUUCCCAGCCUUCACUGGAACACAAAUGUUGAUGUCUCUUUUUUCAAGUACAGCUCAGGACUAUAGCAAAGGUAUUCAGAUUCCUAACUUGGCAUGGUUCACAGUUACAGGUAGAUGGCUAUUGGUGGUACUACUCUUUGUCCUCAUUGGUCUUCUGUGUAUUAUAACAUUUAUUGACUGUUCUUUAUAUCCCUUUAGGAAUGUCUUCUAUUUAUUGCUCAAACAUAUCAGGCUAUGGAAAGUGUUACUAAGUUACUGUUAGUUGCAAACUAAUGAAUUUCCCAUCUUCUCCACCUGCAAACAUGCAGCCCUGUUGUACUGAACCCUACCUGUUUGUAUUUUCAAGAAGGAAGAAACUAGAAUAGAAGGUAAGAUCUGACUAUAUCAAUGAAGAAGGACAUAGAAGAUUUCUAUUUUAAAUUAUACAUAAUUAGACUAUACGUUCUGAAUGUUCAUGUGUAUUCUUGGAAGAGAACUGCCAGGCAUAGAAGAAUGUAUUUAGACCUGGGUUCCAGGACCUAGAACUUGCUUAUGUGGUAAGGAACUCUACCUCAAUUAUUACAAGACACUCAAGCGACACUUUAAAAGCUUUUACUGUGCAAGCUCUUUUCUUGUUGAAAAUAAAUUUGACUUCAUUGUUGUGAUGAAGUGCAAGAUUAUUUGGUAGAUUACCAAGGAUUUAGAGAGUACUGAAGGUAAUCUGAGGCAAACUUGGAAAACUAAGAUAAAAUAUUCUGCUGCUGUGAUGUAUUGUAAAAUAUAUAUAUUAGUAGCAUAACCCAUUGCAGGAAGAUAUUGAAGCAGGGUUUCAGUGCUUCAAAAAGUGUGUUAGAAGAAUAAUGGGAACAUGCAUUGGAUAAAUUCCUUAUGUCAGGACACAGACAACUAAAGCAUUUAUGUACAAUGUAUAGAUUUGUUUUGUCCUUCUCUGAAUGUCUAAUGCUAGCUUAUGUCCAAGACAGAAUAUUUAAUUAGAUGAACUUUAAUUGUGAUCUGGAAUGAUAAUCUGUAUAUUUUGUUUGAUAUUUCCACAAAUGUGUAGAGGAAUUGGAAAUUACAGAAAUUUUGUCCCAAUCUAAAACUUUACAUAAAUUUGGUUUUCUGACUAUUUUUUUCCUUUCAUAAAAGAUAGCAUUUCAUAUGAAAUCCAAAGGAAGAAAUUAGCAGGACUGAACAGAAGUUGGCAAAGCUGAACAUUUUCAUGGUAAAUUUUUAUGUGGCUAUGAAAAUGAUGGAUUUCAUGGAUUAUUUUCUUUAGUGUAGGAACAGUUCUAAUUGUACUUUGCCGUAAAUGUUAAACUAGGAUUUUGAAUUUAGCCCGUGGCAGUAUAACAAGAACUUAUGCCAACUUGCAGCGCUGUGCAGCUGCUGAAAAGCCCCGCUCUACAAGAACCUUGAAAUGUAUGAAUGCAGCGCUGUCGAUCUUUGAAAAUCAUUGGAGCAGAUUCUACUCUAAUGGAUGCCAGUAUAAACCUGGAAUUGCUUCUGUGAUGACUGUUGAAGACUUUUAAUCAAUGCAAAUGAAAUAGUGGUUUUGUUCAUUGAAACAGGCAUGGAUUUAUGGGGAAGGGAAGGACUAAGAAGGCUAAACUGUCCAAUUAGCAUCAGACAGCCUGGCACACUGCUUUUAAAUUGGGGCUGUAUCUGUCCCUGAGUGACAGUAACCAGUGUAGCAAGACUGUUGUAAAGCAGAGGAUAUAACUACACCAAAAUAAGAGGGUCUUCACUUAUGUUGGUAGAUGCAGACAUCUGUGCAACACCUGCACUGCCUUUGUUGUUUUCCAAAAGCACCUAAGUGAAUUAAGGAAAAAGCUUAACUAAAAUAACUUUUUUCCUUGGAGUUUCAUCCUAUACGUUGCUUAGGAACAUUUUCAGAGUCCAUUCUAAGUCACUAUAAUUCAGUUUUCCAUUAAAUUGUUUAGAUAAAACAUUUCAGUGGUAAUAUAGUUGAUAAACAUAAUGUGCCAAAUAUAUCUCUGCUGUAAUUAUGCUGAGGAAAACGGAAAUUAUGUAAAACCAAGGACUGAUAAUCGAAGGAGAUUCUGUGGCAGUGUUUGGGGUUGCCUCUACUUGUAUCAUUGGUGAACGUAACCCUGAAAACUAUUUUCAGGACACACGGGGAAGGAGGAUAUGCACGUUGUAGGUAUGAAUAGUUCGGCCUUAUAACAUACUCACUGUUAACACAUCAGGAAUUAAAUCCACAAGAGCCAUGUUUCUUCCUUCUCCCUCUGAAUAAUGAAGAGGCUAUAUGUUGUCUUAGGCAGGGCUUACAUUUCUCUGCUACCUUCAGAGCUGUGUAAACAGGAGGGAUGGAGAACCGUACUGCAGUGAGGAGUUACAGGUUCCACUCCGGCCAGUAACUAAUGGGACUUCUGUCAUUGAAUUUGGUCUAUCUAACAGCCAGACUUCUAGACCGAAGUAGCCAUUUCUACAUUCUGUAGUCACGAAGUAAGGAACAGCUGGAAAGAGCAAGUCAUCCCAUCUAUCUUAGGAUGUUAAUGAAUUGCCCUGUGAAAGUACUUGUUUCUCUCCAGCGAUACUAGAGGAAACUUAGGCAAUGAUCUCAGCUUAUUAAAAAAGAAUGAAAAGGUUCUUACUCUAAUAGGAAGCUGUUAGUAAUCAAGAAAUGACUCCCACUGCCUAUAUGCAGGAGUGCACCGAUCACAGUAUUCCUAUGCUUACUUCUCAAAAGGAGGUGUGACUCUACAUCUAAAGCAGCACUUUGAUAAGGCUGAGGUAUUAUUGUAACUAAAUUACUUCCCUGCUUGAAGACCUCCAUCUUUGGUACCUGUUGUGAUAUGUUGCCCAGAAGGGAGCUCGAGGUCAUUUGCCUAACCUUUGUUUGUGGGUUGUAGAAGUCAGCAAUCCCAGUCUUCAUUUUUCUUAUCUUUUUUCUUUCCAUCCUAUGGCAGUAAAUCAGCUCCCACUGAGUUCCCAUUUUGGAACUGCCCUCUAAUCUGAUGGCAGACUCCCAAAGGACACAAUUCCAGUAGUCAGGUGCACCUUUGAGGUAUCACAUAGCGGUGUUUGAGGGAUGCCCUCCAAAGGCACUGCCAGCCAAGUAUGUUUUGCUUUCUUGGGAAAGAAUGUUUUCAUUCUGUUUUUAAUUUCAUUUUGGAUUUAAACAUUUCUUUAAAAUGUGUAAAGGUGCAGAGCAGAGCUGUAGGUCUUUCUGUUUAGUUUCUGUUUUCAAGCAAGGUAGUUAUCUUGGAGACCAAUGACAGGCAUUUGGAAAAAGCAAAAGCAAUGCUUCAAGUGUGUCCAUUGGAUAAGGCAGAUGGCAAUAGCAGAGAACUUAGGUUUUCCACUUAGUAUUCCUUCAGCCUGUUUUAUUUUAGUCUUCGAAGACAACACUGUAUUUUCAGAUACUCAACUAAAUCUGGGCAGACAAAUACAUUUCCUACAAAUCUGAGAAAACACACAUUCUGGAAUCAGUUCUUUGUUGUCUCCAGGUGAAAGGGAAAUGUUGUUUCUUGCUAUGCAGUCUUAUGGUACGCAGGUACUAGUGAGUAUCUUGGCAUUCUGUGAUUUAGUGCAAUUUCCACAGAUUUGAUUCAAGGAGAUUCUGUCACUUGAACUUCAGUCAGUUCCAAACCCAGACUUUAGGUUUUUUGAUAGUAGGAGAAUUCCUGACUUUCAACCUGUUUUUGAGAACUGCUGAUUCUCAGACAUUCUCACAGACUUUUCUGAGGGUCCAGGCCAUGAGUACUCUACAUUUCUCAGGAUUAAAUUUUGCAAAGAUUUCUACUGUGACAAUUUUUUUUUCUUUGAUAUUAAGGCUACCCUAUUCUGCCUCUGCUGCAGCACAUUAUAAAUUGCUUUCAUGUAACCUGUGUUUCCCACUGAGUGGCAGAUACCUUGGAUUCAAGAACAACCCUAUAGAGAUGAAGCUUUCCUAAGAAUUUUGAUUCAGAUUAAAGCUUACAAUGUUAAUAUUUUUAGUAAGGCUUUUCAACUUACGUUACAGAAGGUAUGCUUUGCUGACUAGAUGAGGCAUGUUAUCUCUCUGCAGGAAUCCUUCCUAUGUCAUAGCCAAAAAAUGGCAGUUUAAAAUCUUUUAUUUGGAUUUCAUUACAUUAGGCAGAACCUUUCAGUGCAAAACCCCAGAUGUUUUAAUGCAUUAAAAAAAAAAAUACUCUGCUGCAUACACCUAGCCAAAUUAAUUAUUCAGUAGAAUGUUUGUGGUGGAGCAGCAGUUAAUAGAAGAGUGGCAGAUGCCAUACACAGAAGUGUCCAUUUCACUGUGCUGCUCUAUGGUCUGUUGUGACAGCUAAAUGAAGCAGCUCAACAGCUGUCAGCAUGUUAAUGUUUUGGAUUAAAUAAACACACUUGGAAGAACUUUCCUCUGAUUUUUAAGACGUAAUGACUUUGGAGGCGGCCAUAUAUCUUUGCAGAUGAAGUUUGAAGUAUUUUGGAAGUGACACCCAGACAAAAUGAGGAGUUAACAUUGAGCUGUAAGGUAGACCGGUAUGUUUUUGUUUCUUAGCUCUGAGCCUCAGUGGAGAUUAGAAAUUCCUACUUAAUCUAAAUACCUGACUUAAAGAAAGGUUGCAGUGAGGUAGAUACUCUUCUUCCUUAGCUUUAUAGUCUUUAAUAAGCAUAAGAGAAGAGAAGCUUUUAAUUUGUGAAAAGUGAGGCAAAUUGCGUGGUUUAACCCUGUUCAGCGACUAAGCACCACGCAGCCGCUCGCUCAGUGUCCCCACAGUGGGAUGUGGGAGAGGAUUGCGGGAGUAAAAGUGAGAAAACUUGUGAGAUAAAGGCAGCUUAAUAGGUAAAGCUGCGCAUGCAAGCAAAGCAAAACAAGGAAUUCAUUCACUGCUUCCCACCGACAGGCAGGUGUUCAGCCAUCCCCAGGAAAGCAGGGCUGCAUCACACCUAACCGUUACUUGGGAAGACAAAUGCCAUAAUGCCAAAUGUCUCCCUCUUGCUGCUUCUUCCCCCAGCUUACAUACAUUAAGCAUGACAUCAUAUGGUAUGGAAUAUCCUUUUGUCUAGUUCAGGUCAGCUGUCCUGGCUGCAUCCUCUCCCAGUUUCCCGUGCCCCUCCAGCCCUCUCGCUGGCAGGGCCUGAGACACUGAAGAGUCCCUGACUUAGUAUAAACAUCACCCAGCAAUAACCAAACCUGUCCGUGUGCUGUCAACAUUGUUCUCACACCAAACCCAAACCACAGCACUGCACCAGCUACUAAGAGGAAAAUUAACUCUGUCCCAGCUGAAACCAGGACCAAGUCCAAAAAGCUGGAUACAUAUAAACAUAAACCCAGUAUGACUUCUGUCCAUUUCUGUUAAAUUCUACCCAGAAAACUCAGGGCUGAAUGCAUGAUCAUUUAAAAAUAUUUCUGGUUUGGUUUUUUUUGUUGGUCAAUGAUCGCUUUGUAAUAUAGUCAGCUGAUUCUCCAAGAAACCUUCUGUCUUGCCUGGGGGUUUUCUUGAUUGCCUUCCUGACCUCAACUAUUUUGGAGUUGCAGUGCCUGAUAUGGGUGUAAUAUAUGGACAGGUUCUGCUGUGUAUAGCUGGCCAGUUCUUGAUCAUUUCCAGGUAGCUUAUCUAUUUCAUAGCGUCUGAGAGGACAUCCUUUAUUGUUAUGAAAAAUACAGCUGGUGGGAUUCUUUUUAGUGUGAUACUUUUCAUGCUUGGCUGUCAGAUUGAAUAGGGGUGUAUCUUUUAGCACCAAGGCUGCUGGAGAAUGAUGAGAUAAAUUACUGUCAUACUUUUCUCCUCUCUUGAGUUCCUGCUGCUUUUUUCUCUUAGUGUCUGCUUUUGACUGUGGCUGGCUGGCUUGUGUCACAAAAUAAGAAACACACAGGACACCCAAGGUCUAGACCAUUCCUGGGCUUGCAGGAAUGAGUGAAGCUGUAUCAUCAUCAGAGCAUCUUAGAAGUAGGAAAGAAGCAUUUGUGACAGCAUCUGAGGAACUGCAAGGGAGCUACAUCUUUAACUGUAUCUGUGGAUGGAGCCAACAAGCACUUAUUUUCCUGACACCCAACCCUUCCCAGUAUCUGAUUUUUAAAGAGUGCAAGCAUGAGCAAUUAUUGCAUUACUUACCCUGCUGCUCUGUCCUCAUUUGUUCACAAAGAGAGUGGAAGUUUAGUGACCUGCUUUGAGAAAUGCAUAGAGACCAUGGAAGACUGGAGAAGAGUUUGCCUGGGAACUCUACCAAAAACGUAAUUUUUGUAACUUUUUCUACAUUAACCCUGGGAUCUUUACAAUAUACUUUCCUUAUGAAAGGUAACACCAGCAGCAGAUAGAUGAGCUCACUCUUUUAAUCUGGUGUUUUGUUUUGGUUUUUAUUAAAUGCAAAUGCAUGGAUGACAAGCAAUGAUAUAAAUACAAACAUUGGUAUGAAAUACGCAGAAGUAAAAGGUAAUGCCAUAAUGCUGGAAAAUGAGGAUUGCUGCAACUUAAGUAUAGAAGCCUGCAGACUUUUGUUGCUUGGGUUUUUCAUUUGGUCACUCUUUGAGUAAUCGUGGGGUUGAAACUGUGUGGCAGUCACCCCAUGUUCAGUCUGGAGGCAUCAGAAGGGAGCUUUUAGUAGCCGUUACUUCCAGAGCCCCAUGGGAACAAGUUUGGCAGACCUGUUUUUUGAAGUCUGCUGAGGCCAUUGGAUGGUGGUAGUAUGCCAGUGAAGAUAAAACGCCUUUGCAUUUCUCUGUGUUCACUUCUUUCCUUUCCUGAAUUAUUGCAGUACUCUCAUCAAUCAGCAGGCAGGCCAUGGUGCCUUGCUCAGUGAGCUUUCGGCAUGAGCUUUCCAGCUCUUCUCUCCUGUUUCUCAGACCAGAGGUGGCCCUUCUAGUUCUCACACAUCUUUGGUCUGGCGGUGUGGCUGUUCUCAAAUAAUAAAAAACACUUUUGAAUAGUAUGGAGAAGAUGGAAAAGAAGCUGAUAGAAACCCAAGGUGGACACCCUGACUGCAGGAACUUCAUGAUGGGCAUGGAGGAGCUGUUCAGUCUGCCUUCCCAUGACUCUGCUGGCUAUGCAAAUAUGAAGGACAAACAAGUAAAUGAAGUUGAUAAGAUUCUAAAUGGAUAGUGAGCUGACCAGGUAAAUGAAGAGUGCUCUGUUUUAACACAGACCUCUUUUUGGUAUCAUAUACAGAUGUUUUGUUAAUGAUGAACCUUUUUUAGCCUUUGUAGAAAGGGCCAGUUUUGAGGCUCAUCACAGCGUGGAUGGGAGAGUGGAUUGCAUAUUAAUUGCGUAAAGUACAGACCAUAUGUACAGUUCAUGUUUCCAUGGGUUUAUGGGCCCCGAUCAAUGUACUUAACCAGCUUCUGUGCCCAGGGGAAACUGAAAUCUGCACGAAAGAGUAGGUAAAGCACAGAGCUCCCACUAAGGGAAGCUGUUUAAGGACCUGUGAUCUACUACUACGGUUCAAUAAGAAACUUUUUUUUUUUUUUUGGCAAGUGUGCAAAAUAUGUAGAUAGUAAAUAAAGAGAGUGCCAUCUACUGACGUGUCCGGGGAGAAUAUAUGUGGCAUUGUCCGGAAAUGUGCAGAGUCAAUAAAGUUGUUGUUAUGUUCCAGAUGGCUUCCUGCCGGUGGAUGCAAGCCUGAGUCUGGGCUGGGCUUGUCUUUUCCCUGCAGCACCGCAAAGGGAUCAGUCAAGCUGUCUGAUGUAAUCUGGUUACAAGGACAAGUUUUUAGAAAUACCCAAAAGCCCAAGAUUGAUGUGCAAAAUCUCAGUGAGAGGGAGGUUUGUUGGUUGGCUUGUUGUGGUAUUUUUAGUUAUUUUUAAAUCAGGUUGGGAAGCAUCUAAACUGGUUGUUUUCUGAAGCUUUUUGGCCUGGUGUCACUGGAAACCUGGUACAACCUGUGUCUCGUCCUUAGGUCUUCUGCUGGAUAGGCUGUGGAGGAGCUGCGGAAAAAGUGGGAAGCUGAGUAAUUUCCCCCUUGGUGGUGGUUGUUUGUUUUUGUUGUUUUUUUUUUUCUCAGGAAAUUGUGUGUUGAAUUUUCAUUUUACUACAGAAAAGGGCUCUUAUCAGAAAAUAUCUAUCACUAUAAAUUGUUCCUUACUUUGACAAAGAGAAAUUAUCAGAGUUAUUUGCUUUCCUGGCUGUGGGGGCUAAUUAUUUAAGCAUUGAGUUUCUGAACUUGAGGAUGAAAGGAAUAUUUGACCUUUUAUUUUUACUUUUUUUGUCUUCCUAGCACUGUUUUCUGAACAUAAAGUGUGUAUGUGUAAAAGAGCACGGUAAAGAAAAAGGAAAUUUUAGAUUUCCCCUCCCUCUGAGAACAUCAGCUUACUGCUCAGGAAAGAUUAAAAAGACAAAUCAAAUGUUAGGAGAUACUAGGCUACGAAUGAAGAGCAAAACAAAGAACCUUAUUAUUCCGCUGUGUAAGUCUGUGGCGCAUCGUAUCGAGAAUGCUGCACACAGCUUUGUUCUCCCUGCUUCAAAAGGAAUGUUACACAAACUAGAGAAGGGUUGCAAAGUUGAUCAGGAGUUAAGGAGCUGCCACUGUGCUCAUGAGGGUCCUACAAACAAUGCAGAAGGGGCGAAACGGUUAUUCUCCACUACUCGCACUAGAAGAAUUGAGAGGCAACCAAAUUUAAAAAGACGUUACUGUGCGCAGAUGAAAUUGUGGAACUUGGUGCCAUGGUAUGAUCUGAGAGCCAAACUAAUGGGAUUCAUGAAGAAUUCAUGAAGAGUACUUCGGCUGUUAAAAGUUGCCACAGUUGCACCCUUUGACUUGGAAAGCCCUUUCCCUUCUAACUUAAGGCAACCAACACUGCAUGUCCAGGAUCACUUUAUUCUCAUCCCAUUUCUUCUAUUUUCCUCUAAUUACAGCCUACCGGACCUAGCAGGAAAUAGGUUAUUAAACCAGGUGGGCUUUUAGCCUAACCCAAAGCAGCAGGAGCCAGAAGAUGGGACCUUGCCUCUCACCCCGUGUUUGCUGUCAUGGCCUAUUUUCUGUCUGCUCUGUUUGUGGCCCAAAGAGCUGAAUAAUUUUUGCACAGGUGCCACUGGGUAUCGUUUGGGAUGACUGGUAGGCCCUGCUUAGGGUGUCCUUCAGGAAGGGAGGGAGGUAUGCCCAGAACAGGAUUCCUGACUCUGCUUUGUAACACAGGAACCUGAAAUAACGAGGGACUGUGGUGCCAGUCCUUCAGAUUUCCAAGCCAUUUAUUGGCUCUAUCCCUUAAAUUACAAACCAAAGGCGAUGUUCUUCAGUUCAUCUGUAAAUAUCUCUUGAGGCUACUUGUCAAGAGAAUUUCUUCCGGCUUUCCAAACUCAAGUGAACUAUUGUGAUUAUAAGAUAAUGUAACAUAAAAGUGCCACUAAUCAUGUGAACAUGUUUAUAUGUAAAUAAGCUACAUCGUUUCCAUUAGAUGUUUGAAGUGGAAAAUGAUGUACAAAAAUUGCAAACGUCUGCAGUUUAAACUCCUCUAGGUGUCCUCAGUUUCCACCCAGGUACCUGCCUACCUUUCAGAGAUGGUAUGCCAGCUCCCACAUUUCCAUAAAAGCUUUGGUUGUCAAAGCAAUUUUCCUUGUUUAUCAUUUUAACCAUGUAAUUUGCCUCACAUUGAAUGUCACCAUUCAUUGUGGGCCAUUGGCCCACGUCAACAAAUAACCUUCAAAGGAUUAAGUAACACUUUCCUUCUGUCUCCUUUGUUGCUUGCUUUCCUUCAGUAAUUUACCAUUGAGGUGAUGCCAGAGGACCCUGACGGAGGAACAAUAUGUAUGUGCCAUCUUCAAGUAUACAAAGGGAGGGGAAGAAAAUAAAAAAUAAAAAAAAAAGACAAAACCAGAGAAAGGUCUUUGUUCCAGUUGGUUGGCAAACUAGCUGUCAUACCAGCUUUCUUAAUCGAUUGCUGGCUACAUUCUGUAAUCUCUUUGCUUUCUGUAAUAUAAAAAUGCUUGUCACUAACCUUGUUAGUAGGGUUCCUCUGGUGGUCUGAACAUCCACAUUUAAUUUCUGGGAUCAUUCUUUUGAAAUUUUGUCCUGCUUGCAUGCAAGCUAGUGUCAGAAUGUCUGUUGAGGAUGGUUUCACUGAGGGAGGCUGUCUGGAAGGGUAUUAAUAUCCUGAUGCAGCUGAGUCUUGUGAGCUUGCACCUGGAUAUGGGAAUGUUGCACCGGUAUCUUUUCGGCUUUUUUGUUUGUUAAGUGACAGUGCAUGUCUAGUGUGAAGAAAUGUUCUUAAGCAAAGUUAAUUCCGUGUGAUUGAAAUCAUUUGCUUCAGAAUGGCAGUUGGAUUAGAAAUCUCAGUCCUUGCAGUGCUACGGUGCUACACCAGUACCCCAGGAGGUCACACUUUGGCAAACACAGAGCUCAUGCAUUUCUUUCAGUGAUAAUACUGUCAACUCCAAUUUACAGCAGACUGGUUUAAUGCAGAGCUUACCAAUAAUUUGUAGUGAUCAGAAGAUCAAUGAGAUUUAGUGUUCACAUUCUGAAUGAACAAGUAAGGGUUAGGUGGCCUCCUGGGGGCUCCUUUCUUGUCUUUGGGGGUGACAGCUUGGAGUCCUCAAAGUUGAAGCUGUAAUUCAUUGAUGUAAUUUUAAUUUUAGGAUGUAAAAACCCAAACACUUGUUUUUAAAGCCAGCAACUCAUGAAAGUUAAAUCAGGGCACUAUGUCAGUGAUGGAAUUUUAUCCCCUUGUUUUUUAGCCAUACAAAUGUAAGUAAAGCCUGGCUAAUGGGCUCUGACACAGCAGUGCAGUUGUGUAGCAAUCUUUCUUAAGGGCUUUCUUUCCCCCAUGGGGUGACCUCUUUCCUGGCUCAUUGAGAUAAAUUCUCCAAGAUUCUUGACCUGAUCUGAUAGAGGUGGAAACUGAACAGCAGUUUUAAAAUCAGUAGUCUCCAUGUGAGCAGUGAGUCUAGCACAUAUUGUGCCUUUAAAAAUGAAAUAAAUAAAUGCCCUCCCUGUACCCAAACCCAGCCAUUGCUUUAGCAUCUUUUGGCAUAGAGGCAUUUCACACAACCCAUUAAAUUAAAGGGAGAUUUUUUUCCCCUCCCCAUAUCGUAAUUCUUAUGUAUACAACAUUGAACUUGUCCAAAAAAAACUUACUCAAAGAAGCAAGACAUUAAGAAUAAAUUGCUGAGAGCUCCAGUGAGAAAUGUGUCAUGAAAUGAUGGAGGAAAAAGAGCCAGCAGCUUUAUCAGAAUGAGCCACAAGGAUAAGACAGGGGAAAACGUAUUUUAGCUCUCUUAAGAUCUAGAGUAUUUUUGUUUCUUUGUUUUUUGUUUUGGUUUUUUUAAUAAACCUGAAAUCCAUUCUCUUAUGUUGUCAUCUAUGGCAGCUCUCUCAGAAAUAAACAGAUCUGAGAUUGCACACUUGAUAUCAAGCCACUUCUGAUCUGGGGGUGGGGGCGUGGGGGAGGGGAGGGUACUAGAGAGAAAAUAAGAGUUUAUUUGACAAGAAAUGCAAACUACCUGUAAUAUUUGUUGCUAGCUGUAGUCCUGUAGAUCGGUCAGUUUAUAUAAAAUUCCGCCACUAAGUUACAAGAUCCAUCUGGAUUUUGGCAUAUUUGAAAUAUUUAUUAUGUUUAUCUUUCAUGCACAUCAAAUACAUGUAUAAUAAUGUACGUGUUUUUAAAAGAAACCAUACAUCAACUGCAGUUUGUGGCUUAAGAGUGAUAUAAAGGCAUUCUUAUCCUUGAACUUUUGUACUCAAGGGUAGUUAAGAAAGCCAAAACAACUUCACAGUUAAAAAUAGCAAAUUUCUAAGAUUUAGGGGUUUGUCAAGAAUUGACGGGUUAUUUUUGCCCCACACAAAUGACGCUAGGUACAGAAUAGUUAGAGUAAAUCUGGUAGGGUAUUGCUCAGAAUCCCGUAUCUCUUAAACACUAAUGAAUACAGGCUCUGGAUCUGUGGAUUUUAUUAAUAUUCCUGAACUGAGUCAUAAUAGGUAUGAGUUAUUUGAGGUGGCAUUGCAAUUUUUCCCUAGCUACUUAAUACCUGCUCUGGAAAAACCGUUCAGAUUCUGCUCUCACUGCUGGAGGAAGCUGGCAUGUUAAUCCACUUUGCUUACUUUGCUGUUCUUUAAAUUUAUUAUGUUGGGAAGGAUUUUUCAGCACCAUGGUCUCAAACUGCUAAAAGCGCAUCUCUGUGGGAGCUUUUAUCAUUGUUUCAUCUGUAUUGGAAGUGGUAGUAUAAAGGCGGCUUCUGCUUCCAUGUUGUAUGUUAAGAUUCAGAGAGCAAAUGGCCUGAGCAGGUGUCGUGGUUUAACCCCAGCUGCAGCUCAGCCCCACGCUGCCACUCACUCGCUCCCCCGCAGUGGGAUUGGGGGAGAGAAUUGCAGCAGUAAAAGGGAGAAAACUCUUGGGUUGAGAUAAAGGCAGUUUAAUAGGUAAAGCAAAAGCCACACACACAAGCAAAGCAAAGCAAGGAAUUAAUUCUCCACUUCCCACCGGCAGGCAGGUGUUCAGCCAUCCCCAGGGAAGCAGGGCUGCAUCAUGCAGAAUGGUGACUUGGGAAGACAAACACCAUCACUGCAAAUGUGCUCCCCCCCGCUUCUUCCCCCAGCUUUAUAUGCUGAGUGUGAUGUCAUAUGGUGUGGGAUAUCCCUUGGGUCAGUUGGGGUCAGGUGUCCCAGCUGUGUCGCCCAAUUUGUUGUGGCUACCUCAGCCCGCUGGCAGUGGGGUGAUGUAAGAAGCAGCAAAGUCCUUGGCUCUGUGCAAGCCUGCUCAGCAGUAACUUACGCAUCCCUGGGUUACCCACACUGUUUUCAGCGCAAAUCCAAAACACAGCCCCAUACCAGCUACUAUGAAGAAAAUUAACUUCAUCCCAGCCAAAACCAGCACAGCAGACCAGGAUUGUUUCAGGUAAUGUGGCCAGGUUACAUAGCUUGCCUAUUGAGGGCUCUCUGUGUUCAGUAUUUCUGAGUCUUUCCCUGUCCCUGCCAUUUGUUGUGCUGACUGUUUUCAAGUGCGUAACUGCUCCCAGUAGCCUGUAAUUGCAAGGUCAGUCUAAGGUGAAGCUGUGCCUUGUUUAGGGAAAGACAUGAACAGUCUGUUUAGGCCAUAUGUUGUUGCCUUGUCCUUUUCUUGAAACCUUUGGGUAGCUCAGCAUGUUAUGUGCAAUGAUUAGGAGCACCAAAAUCUCUCAAAGUAUACGAUUGGGGCCAGCUUAGCUUCGGGAUAAUUGGCGGCUUUGUGGACUCUGUGUUUUGGUCUUAGAUGGGCAUAGUAAGAAAGCUAUUCUGAUCUGAUAUUUCAUUUUGAGGGUCAACUACUUCAUAUUCCCUGAUUUUUCUUGCUAUCUUCUGCACUUUAUUGCAGAGAAUAAACCCCAGCAGGUAUUUAUUUUUCCCAUUUGUUUGCAAAAGCAGCAUUUUUCCCAUAUCCAUGGACAUGACUGCUCUGUGUCAGCCGGCAGCUAGUGUCUGUAGGAAAUGCUUUUUUUGAUUUUUUUUUUUAAGUAUUUGAGACUUUCUUUGCCAUGAAAGCAGAAAUGAGGAAAGGGUGAAACUAUGUAAGGAUGCUGCUUUGACAAGCCUUGCUUAUGGCCUUCUAUUGAUGUUCGGUCUAGAUGUUUGCUCUAGCUAUUAAUUUGGUUAGAAACACUUAAGGACAGAGAUCUAUUAUUUCCUUACUGAAAAAAAGCACGGGCUAAAGCUUUGUUUUAAAACAGAUUAUGGUUGCUAAGUAACAGUCUUCCCUAAGUUGAGUGUCUUCCUCAACAACUAAUCCCAAAGUCUUAAAAAGGGAGAAUUUAAAGACAUGAUAAAUCUUACUCUGUCCAUAUGAUUAACAGACAUUUUGAGUUAAACCUUGGUUCCGCUGUUGUUGGUGAGGAAAGCUUCCACUGGCUCAAUGAUGCGACUAUUUCCCUGCUGAUUGUCAUCCAGAAUAGAGAAGUUGUAGUAUAACAUACCUAUUAGGAAAAUUCUGUUCUUUUUAAUGAACUUUUACUAGAACUUUCCAUGUUUCCUCCAUCUUCUCUCAUCCAAAGUGGUUUUUUGUUUUGUUUUUGAGGCAGAUGAAGAAAUACUUAAAUACAGGAAUUAAAUUGGAUAUUACUGUUAAAUCAAAAGAAUGUUUCAGGCUCAGCUAAUGGUGGCUGCUUCCAUCAGUGCAUACGUUGUGUUCUCCAGUGAGUUAUGUUAGUUACAGGGGUGUAACACAGCUCUGCUUCCUCUUGCAAUGCUCACAAAAGGGCCAGAAAGCAGAUUUAGGUUUUAGGCUGAGGACUAGAAGCACAUCCUUCUCCUUCACAGCUGGUGCUUAAUACUGUAAGUCUUGGCACCUCUUGGCCAAGUCAAUAAAUCUCUUGCAGUGCAGAGAGACACAAGGUAACAACAUCUGAGUUAGUACCAGGAAUGGAAGUGGAAUAGGCAUGCCAGUGUGGCUCUGCACCUGAGCUACUGAGCUCUGCUGGAGGAGGUUUAUUGGAACCAGUGAAGCGCUGCUACUAACACAUUUGGACCAGGGUUACUUCACCUGUGUGAUGCUGUGCUGAACAAAGUAAGUAAAUGAGUGCUCUCAGGCACUUGCUUGGAUGUUUAAGCACUAUCCACCCACAUUUGUAGACGUGCCUUCCAGUAGUUUUAUUGGUGAACUUCUUGGUUGUGCCAUAUGGUUUCUAUCUAUUUCUUUCUCAUUUUGAAGGUCUCUAAGCUGUUGACAGCUUGCAGAAGUUGGUAGAUGUUACUGUAGUUGAAACUAAUUCUUUGUUUUUCCAGAAAAGUUUGGGGACGUGAUUGGACCUUGCAAACUGACUUAGGAGUCAAAUUUCUCGCUCAGAUAUGUAGGAAGCCAGUUUCUCAUAUCUUUCAACAUGGUUAAAUUUCUUCUUUGGUUUUCCAGUGUAAUCGUAAAAACAGUACUGAUGCUGGCAUGCACAAGAUGAUUGUUUUGUGUCUUUGCAAUUAACUAGACAAUGCAGCGAAGUAAUUUUAAGCAUGCCAUUUCCUAACCACUUGGUACUUCAGGCCUCUGGGCCUGGUGCACUGGGGGCUUUUUUGCCUUUGACACUGAGCUUUUGUGUUUGGCCUCUGUAUAUUGUCCAUCCUGCCAUCACUGUCAUGUGCUUUUAGAGGUGCUCCACUCUUUUGUGCUUGUGCUCAAACUGCUUUGAGCCCCUACCUCGGGCUGAAUCAUUGAACGGGAAGUCUGUGCAGAACUGUGUUCUCAGUUGAAGAGCUCCUGGCUCUUCUGCAAUUGCCAAAAAUACAGGAAUAGGUAACCUGUGUUCUAGUGGAAGGCUCCAAGUGGGAGAAUACCCCUCUACCCCCUCAAAAAAACAAAAAGGCACAGUACUCAGAAUAUCACCAGACUCAGGGAAAUGGGAAGCUGAUGCAACUGCAUUGUAAAACAGGGACUAUUAAGUUAUCUUCCUCUCCCUGCAGAUUUAAGUCAUUGAAGGUUGUUUUGACCUUGUCUGUCUAAAUGUAAUCUCCUUCAAGGCAGCUUGUUUUUUUAAAACGAGGCAAAAAACUGUAAAACCAGAUCCUCUCUGUCUUCUGCUCAGUAAAAGUAGUAAAUGAAGAAAAUCCCACCUGGUUUGUGCAACCUGUGUUGUUCCUUCACAGAGGCUUGGGGUUUUUUGGUGUGUGCUAGUAUCUAUUCAAAGCAUUUUCAUGCAUUGUGUCCAUUUAGCUGAGUGAUUCAGAUUGCUUGUAGCAGUAACCAGCUCCCUCAUUACUCACUGCUCCAUGAAUCUUUGUCAACUAAAGCCCUUACCUGCCAAAGAUUUUCUGUUCUCAUUCAUCAAAAAUAUCCUCAGAUCAUCAAUUAAAAAUAUCGAUGAGAAUUAGCCCCAAAAUUAUCUUUGAGGAACCUCACUAUGUAGUUGCCCAAUUCAUUAAUAUUUUCCAAGAUGCUUUAUUUUGAGACGUGCCAUUAAAGUAAUUCUUAAUACCUUUAGUAGAUGUUGCUACUUCUGUAUAUUGUCAUUUUUAAAACAGGAAGAUUUCAAAAUCAGGUUGUCACGUAAUACUAAGUAAUUAUUUUUUUAAAAAAUCCAAGUACUUUAUCAACAGAAAUGUUUUUAACAUCCAAACUCAUCUCCUGACAAAAAAGGUUAGCAAUUCAUUUGACAAGACCUAGCUACCAUGGGACUUGUUGACUGAAAUUGUUUCGGUUUUUUUUUUAUCUUCUACUUUGUUGAUAGACUCUCUGUUUGACUGAUCCAUUUAGAAAUCUUAGGAGCCGUAUCAGGUUACUUAGACUUUAAAUCCUUAUUAACACCACCUUCCCCAGCCCCACCCCCCUUUUAUUUUAUUACUUUUUAAAGAACUCCUAACUGUGGAACCAAAAUUACAUUUUUGUAAUCAUGUAGAAAUCAUCUGUUUUUUCAAGAGAUUUAUGAAUUAACAAAAUUUGGGAAAGUCCUGUAUCCUUUAAAAAAUAAUAAAUUUUACGGUUGUAAGUUUUCCUUUCUCAUUAUUUGUAUAUUUGUGGCUUUCAUCAGUCCUUUCAAAGCAAUUUUAAAAAUUAUUAUUUAACUAUCAUGUUCUUAGUCAUGUCUGAAACAUUGCCCCCUCUGAAGGAACUAGUGAUGCAUAUGUAAUUUGUCCCCAGUUUUCACUAAUACUUCUGUGAUAUUUCUGUGCUCCCAAAAUACAGUUAUGGUGAUAGUUGCUUAAAGUUUUUGGAAACUGUCCCGUUGUAUUCUUUAGCGUUUGCUGUACUGCAUGCUGCUUGAAGGAGGUAAAUGCAACAUAACAACUCUUUUUUCCAUUCAUCCAUUAACUCAGUUUUUAACUCUUGUCAGUGAAACUCAGUAUUGCAUUACCUCUGUUGGGUGCUAAGUAUGCUCACUCAACAAAUUAUUGCAUACUAUUUGAAAAAUUUAUAAAUAUAAAAUGUUUACCGGACUGACAUUCAAUAUAAGAACAUUCUUCACCCUCCUUGCUCAUAAUGGACAGCUAUUAAAGGAAAAAAUUGCCUGUUUUCUAGUAAUACUUGCUCUUUGGAAAGAGUGGGGUGGAUGACCUCCAGGAUCCCGUCUAUGGUUUUGUGAGUCAGUUUUCAAAUUCUACAUUAUCUGCUGGAAAGAUGAUGUAGACACAGUGAUGUACCAUGUCACUAGUAAACUUCCAUAUCAGUGUUUUUUCCAUAUUAGUAUUAUGAUCCUAUUCCACUGGGUUUCAGUUCAAUUUCCUUUACUUUGGGGUGUUUUUCCCUACGUAUGAAUAUCUUCAGUUCCUCUUGCCUAUUACUUAGGCAGAUGGUAUACCUUGAUGGGCUUUUUUUGGUAAAGUAUGUUCUUUGAAAGGUUCAGUGUGAUUUGAUUUAUGUUAUUUAUGUUGUUAUGAGACCAGCUUACAUAACAGACCAUUUGUGUUGUAAUUAUUCUAUUGAAUGAAAAAACCUUCCUGGCUACCUGGUCAUGUUCAUUACUUUGGAGAAUCGGAUUUUUAUAAAGAUGGGGCCAACUGAAGUGUACAAUUCCCUCUAUGAUGAUAGACUUUUCAGUGCUUCACAAUGAAAACCUACCCCUCAGUCGUCUGCCAACAUUUUAGCUCACUCACAGCUAGCCUUACAGAUUUAGCACAUUCCUUGUUCUUGAGGCAAAAGGGACAUUUGUGACGUAACUUUCCAGAUAUUCCCAUCCUUCAACAGCCUAAGGUCUUCCAGGAUCAGUGGAAUGCAGGUUGGUAAGGUGUCAAAGGUAACCAGAGGUUACUGCCAGAGGAAUCGCUCUGUAUCAUCUUUACUCUUUCGCUUCUGGAAGGAAGAAAAUAGUCCUGCUUGUAAAAUGUCCUGAUCAUUCAGAUGCUCUGUGCACACUUUUUCCACAGUCAUAGAAUAGAAUCACAGAAUCAUUUAGGUUGGAAAAGACCUUUAAGAUCGAGUCCAGCCACAAGCCUAACAAUGCCAAUUCGACCACUAAACCCUGUCCCUACAGGUGCCGCAUCUACAUGUAUUUUUUUAAAUAUCUCCAGGGAUGGUGACUCAACCACUUCCCUGGGCAGCCUGUUGCAAUGCUUGACAACCCUUUUGGUGAGCAGGUUUUCAUAACCUUGUGGUAAGUCUGUGUGUUUUGAGUUGGGUGAUAGUUCAAUUCUUUCCUCCAGCUCCUUUUUCCUUCUCUUCAGAUGGCUCAUUCAGCAUAUUGAUGUACCUUAGGUGCAUCUGUGAAGAUACAGAAUACACUUUCAGUCAGCUUGCAAAUUGACAUUGCAACUGGGUACAUUAGUGAAAUACAUAACUUCAAGAUGCCUGGUCACAGAAUGACAGAAUGGUCGGGGUUGCAAGGCACCUCUGGAGAUCAUCUAGUCCAACUCCCUGCUAAAGCAGGGUCACCUAGAGCAGGUUGCAUAGUUGUGCCCAGGCAGGUUUUGAAUGCCUCCAGAGAAGGAGACCCCACAGCCUCUUUGGGCAGCCUGUGCCAGGGCUCUGCCAUCCUCAAAGGAAAGAGGUGCUUCCUCACGUUCAGAUGGAACUCCCUGUGUUGCAGUUUGUGCCCAUUGCCCCUUGUCCUGUCGCUGGGCACCACUGAAAAGAGCCCAGCCCCAUCCUCUUGACACUCAUCCUUAAGGUAUCUGUAGGCAUUGAUAAGAUCUCCUCUCAGUCUUCUCUUCAGGCUAAACAGUGUCAGCUUUCUCAGCCUUCCUUCACAAGGGAGAUGCUCCAGUCCCCUCCAUCAUCUUUGUAGCCCUCUGCUGGGCCGUCUUCAGUAGUUCCCAGUCUCUUGAACUGGGGAGCCCAGCACUGGACACAGCACCCCAGAUGCGGCCUCACCAGGGCAGAGCAGAGGGGCAGGAUCACCUCCCUCCACCUGCUGGCCAUGAUCCUCCUGAUGCACCCCAGGGUCCCACUGGCCUUGGCCACCAGGGCACACUGCUGGCCCAUGGGCACCUUGCUGCCCACCAGCACUCCCAAGUCCUUCCCCGCAGAGCUGCCUCCCAGCAGGCCAGCCCCAGCCUGUACUGGUGCGGGGGGUUAUUCCUGCCCAGGGGCAGGACCCUCCACUUGGCUUUGCUGAACUCCAUGAGGUCCCUCUCCGCCCAGAUCUCUAGUCUUUGGCAGACUACAAUUGCAAUGCUGUCUACCUGUUUACAUUGUCACUGACAAUGUAAAUCUUAGAACAGCUUGACCAAUUUUAAAAAUGAUGGAAGUAAUAAAUACCUUCAUUAUUUUUUCCAAACUCAUUUCUCACAAAGGAAUAAGUUGUCCUUAGAAGUAAAAUUGCACUUAUUUCUGCAUGGUUUCCAGAAUUACUCUGAGAACAUAUAAUUUUAUAACGUUAACAAGAAGAUAAAAACUUUAUAAGAAAUAAAUAGUCCAUCAGAUAUCACUUAUAUUGUGUUCUGUUACCUUAGACUUGCUAUCUAGAUGGCUGGUGAGUUUAAAACAAACUGCAAAGUAAUUUCAGUACGGGGUUUCCCAUUAUUUUCUCAGAUUUGUGCUUUCCUUUCUUUUCUACUGUCACCUUUAAAAAUCCACUUUUUAUAUUUUGAUGAAAGGCAGAAAGGUGAUUGUUUUUAUUUGAAAAGAACAAGUGCAACAUGAAUCUCUCUUCUCGUGACAUGCUUAUUUGUGAUCUACUGUAAUAAUUUACAGAGGUGCUAAUGAGAACCUGUACUCAUGGACAUAAAACUGGCUGACCAGGAAUCCCUGGUCACGUGAGAGAAGAACUUUCUUCUGUUUGAUUUAAGUGCAAUGUUGAAAUGAAACAUUAGUACAUAGAGGUUUGAGGGUAUUGUGUUGUAGAGAUCAAGUUAUUGUGGUAUUAUGGUAAUGAUAAAACAUUUUCAUAGGUUAUCAAACUUAUAAAGAAAAGGAUUGAUUAAAUUAGGAAGCCUGUCCUGAAAAUUAAGGCUAUUUGGAGUAUUCAUAACAGAGUCCUGAAAAUAUCAAGUGCCUUAUUAAGAAGAAGUUCUGUUGCUAGGAGACUGUAACCACAGUGUCAGGAUAACAUCUUUUUUAUUUCCUGUAAGAAAUUCUGGUUAAUGCAUCUAGUUAGAUAAUGAGCAAGGAUGGCUAUGUGAUGUAAAAAAUUGGGUGAAAUGCUUAAUUUGUGAGAUGGGAAGCCAGUAAAAAGUGCAGGUCUUUAAAGUGUAGCUUAGUGUAGUGUGCCACAAGAACAAAUUUGAAGCUUGGCUAGAAGCAGGUAGACACCCUGCUCCAGAGUACUUGGAUGAAGCAAUCCCAGUUCAUACAUCAAGUAAGAAUAAAAAAAUAUAAUAAAACAGCUUUAAAAAAUGAAGUGCUUAUACAGCUGUUUAAUCUUGCUGAUACAGAAUCAAGUUUGGCAUGGGAAAGAAUGUCACAGGUUCAUAAUGCCAUGUAAUAAAAUAAACUAUCUAGAAGCAAAGUUUCUAAAAGCAUCAGGAGUUUGGAGAGGCAAGGAGGAUCUGUGUCACCAGGAGUAAUGCAGUACUGUGUUCUAGGAGGUGCUAGGAAAGCUUUGGGAGGAUCCCAGCUAAAAAAAAAUAUCAAAAUAGCAGAUUCUUUGUAGAAACAAUUUCAUGACUGAUAUCCACUAGAUGCUUUAAGUAGAGAAAUUCUGAAAUAAGUAUCUGAAUAUAUGGGUUGAAAGAAUUUGAUCUGGAAAGCAUGAUCCACGUUGCUAAUGUGUGGUUAUGAAAGCGUGGCAGAGGGGCCUGUGUAGUUGGACUCCAAACAAGGUACAUCAUAAAGCUCACACCAAGCUUAGAUUGGGUACAUGUUCUGCACGCUGGUCUAGUUUUCCCCAUUUUUCAACCUAUAGGGACUCCUUAAAAGCUAUGCUGACCACUGUCAGCUGGACUCCAGGCAGGUACAGAAGGCUUGUGCCUCUGACUCCACUCCCCCAGCUCCCCUUGGUAUUGGUGCUUUGAGCUGGUAAGUGUAUAGGCUUUAGUAUAUAGGUUGUAUAUGCAUGAAGAGCUAUUUUUUCAACAGCAGCAUCCUGUCAUUCUGCUAAACAUCUUUUCUACAUAUUCUUUGAAUGGAAGCAGCCUGCAAGCUGGAUGUAGCCCCUAGGCUGCUGUUUCAGGCGCACUGAACUGCUCUUUACUCGUUCUUUGUUUCUUUCAAACUUUACUUUGAUUAAAAUGAAACAUUUAAAAAUGUGAAUCCGCAUUUUAAGAAACAUGGCCUUGCUAAGUCAUUAGUUUAAUAAUUGAACUAGUACUGAUUUCAUAUUGUACCAAAACUUCCCAGGACAUCUGUGACAAAUCGUGCUUGAUUGCGAUCGGUGGCUGACACAAUGGCUUCUUCCCUUGCAGACAAGGGAAUGUGGGUGAACAGCAUAAAAAUGCUUUCAGAUAUUUACUUGCAUUCAAAGUUUGUAUGUGUGUCAUCCCCCGUCCCCCACACCUACUUUCACCGCCCUUUUGUGAAAAGCUUUGCUGGCAGAAUUUUUCAUAGAAUCAGUAAUGUUAAAUACAUGUAAGUAUUUGUAGAAAUCAGGUUUUAAUCUCUUUCAAAUGUAGAAUUAUCCUAUUAUGUUUAAUCAUCCAGGCAACAGAAGCAAACAAAAAAAAAAAAAAAACCCCACCAAAAAAAACCACCAAAAAAACCCAACAACCACCCACCCACCCCGAUAUUUGCAGCCUAUGAAAAGUAAUAGAAGUGCAGAUUUUAAAUGUAAACAAGUUUUUUCAAUUUGCUUAGGAUGGGUCUGUAAGGUGCCCAGAUCUGAUUUACAGAAAUUUCUCAGUGAAUGAUGAAUAUGUUUGUGCUUUAUAUGAGAACAUAAAAAUUUUUAGGUGCUCCUGGUUAACUGGGGGGGGGGGGGGGGGGGGGGGGGAGGGAUGGGGAAGCAACAAAAUAAAAAGCUUAAUUAAUUUGAAUAAUUUAUUCCUCUAUAAAGUCAGCCAUUCGGCUUCAAAUUUCCAUCCUACUCCCCAGAGGCUACAGCCCAAAUUAAGGAGUAGCCAGAGGGGGACACACAUUUUGCACACGAUCACAACAUAUCUAGAAAUAGACUUGAGAGAAAUUCUAGUUUGACUGGAUCCCGCCUGAGGGCUGCACUGAGCAUGUCCUGCACUUGCUCUCCGGACACUGCUAGUAGCAAAAAACCUAAGGAACUCGCCUGUUGUAAAACUGGCCUUUGGAAACCUUUCUUACGAUUUCAGUAUGUUUCAGAUGGUGCCUCAGAAUGGAUUCUUGCCCAAAAAAUAUUUAUUUAUUUUAUUUAUUUUUUUUUAGAAAAACUAGUUUUUAGCCUAAGUAAAUUAAUCUCUAGAGCUGUUGCUAGGUCCAGCAGUAGCAGAUAACUGUAACAGAUAAGAAAAGUGCCCUUCAGUUUUAUACGUGUUCUUAGAGAAGCUCUUGUCCAUCUAGAAGCCAAUCACAGAUUUCCCAGUCCUUCAUAAAGUUCAUAGAUGUAUAUAGUUCGUACUGAAACAGGGAAAUUACUGCUUGCAAAUUCCGAUGUUUUCUUACAUAGGUUUGAAAUCGUGCCACAAUACUAUUGCCUUGGCCUGUUCCCAUUAAGGGUUACCUCCUGUACGGGUAUCUGUGCCUUUUCAGUCCUCUCUACAAAGAAUACAUAGCAGCUUCCUGAGCAGAGCAGGAAAAAACAGGUAGUGGUUUGCCAUCUGUGUCUGCUUUUCUGCCAGUCCUCUGUUCAUGUGCUUGCUUCUCUGCUUUUCAAGCACUGCCUUGUUAAUCUCCAUGAUUUCUUCUUCUGUGCUCAAACCGCGGUAGUGUAAGGAAUGCUUCUGGCUCUCCAUUUGCAGACUGUUUGCAUGGUCACGUAGCAUAGCUUCUGCUCAGACUUUGCCAUGCCUGUUGGUACCUGAAGCCGUCAGUUCAGAUCCACGUUCCUCUCCAGAUUCUCACAAAACCAAAUGGGAAGAUUUGUUCUUUCCGUUGUUUCAGAUAUCAUUAAAUAUGAGGGAGUGUAGUUACUUUGCUGGUGCUCCUGCCGACUGAAUUCAGGGUGGUUAGGGGUGUUUCAGAAGUGUCCAUCCAUCAUUAGCUAUUCCAGGACAAGUAUGGAGUGGGAGGAUCUAUGUUCUCUAACACGUAUAUGGGUCUUUCAAGCAGUAUUAAGACUACAUUGUACUGAAAGAACAGUUAUGCUUGCAAAUAAUUUAAGUCAGGUUUGGGAAGUAAAUAAUUUGAUGAAUCAAACAAUGUAUUUUUAUUUCACUAGGGUUUUUUAAAAACGUGUAUGUUGGCUGUGGUCUUCACCAAAAACCUAGGUACUUAAUACGGGAGCCAAGGAUUGAUGAAUUAGAAGACCAGAAGACACUAUAUCUAAGUGGAAUAGAUAAACAAUGAAAAUGGAUUUUGAAAAUAAACUAUUAACUGAAAAAGCAGGUGUAUAGGUGUUGAAAAACAGCUUUAUUGUAAAUUAACAAUUUUUAUUUAUUUUUUGUAUUUAUGUUGCUUUAUCUAGAUGAAUAGUUGUGAAAAAUAAAAAAUAAUGACCUAAAUGUGUUGUCUUAUGUUUCUCUUUUCUGCUGAGGUCAAACUCAUUUUGUAGCGUGGUGCCUGUUUUUUCAUAGUGCCACUGCCAAACGUCAUUGAAAUUACAAAUACAGAACUAAAUUAAAAGGACAUAUUUAAGAUUGGAAAGUCAGCAUAAAUUGUAAUUAAGUCUGUUUGUGCACUUUUACCUCAGUUUCUGGGUGUACAUGCAUCCUGAUAAGAGUGUUUCAUUGCAUAGUUAUGGCCAUUUUUUUUCAGAGGGCACUUUCCCAGUUAGUGAGCACCAACCAGUCCAGCACGUGUGUAAAGCAGCUAUUCAAAACUGCUCUUCCUCCCUAUUAUAUGUUCGGGCCUCACUCAUUGCUGACUAGCCAAAUCUUGUUAUGGAGAGAGAAUUAUUAAUUUCAUUGGGUCUCUUCAGUGGUGUUUGUCACUGCUGUAUUUCAUGUGUCUUUCAAAUAAGAAUGAAUGUAUUUCACAUGUGAGUGGUUGGUACUGUUAUCUCCCUAUAAAGGGGAACAGAGAUAAACUGUUGUCACUAUAGUUUGCUAAUUUUGAACAUCCAAUCUGAGGUAUCUACAACUUGGUAUUUGAGUCAACUACAAUACUGCUAAAGCCCACUGACUUCUGAGCAGCUCUUCCUUUGGACAGCUUCUCUGUGUGUCUGGGGUCAGCAAUGAGGACAUGGAGAGGCAAGGUUCGUCGCUGCCUGACCUGGACUUGAAAUGUCUGAUACUGGCCCAGAACCACAGUUACUGCAGAAACCUAAAUCCAAAAUGGGUUCUUGAUAUUCUGAGCCUUGAAUUCUCUCCUGAAAAUGUAGGUAGUGUAUACACUUUUUGAAGGUGACAGAUACCCUCUUUCAAACAGGGGGAGAAUAGUUGCGUCUCCUUUUCUAUCUAGUAUGCUGUCGCUUACAACUCCCACCUCAACUGAGACAUGAGCUCCUAUUUUUCUUCUUCCUGAGGGUUUGCAAACCUGUCUGAUAUCUCAGGGAUUAUCCCUACCCUAUCAGCAGAUUCUGUUGAAGAUAAAACAUCUUAACUGACUCCUGUUAAAAUGGUUAUGUUUCAUGGAUAAGUGGUUUUGAUUAUUAUUUUAUUUUUAAACUGGAUUAGAGGGUAGAAGAGAAGAAAAACUAAGUUAAGCAAGUACUUAAUCAGAAGGAAGGAAAAAAAAUUUGUACUGGUAUUUGUCAGUUACAGUUUCUGUGGAACUUCCAUUGACAUUAUAGAUGUAAACCUUUUGAAGUUCAAUCAGGACAAAUGCAACACCCUGUACCUGGAAAGCAAGAACCCCUUGUAACAACACAGGCUGGGGAUUUGCUCUGGUGAAGAGACGUGAGGGUCUUGGAGGAUCUCAAGCUGAACAAGCUUGGAUGAAAGCAUAGUUGCAAGACUGAUUCCCUUGGUGUUGCUGGACCAUUGAAAGUUUAGCACACUUGUAUAUACAGCAGCAGUAAAAGAAACAUGCAAAGAAAGUCCUAGCUGAUGACCAUGUUUUUAAAACAUGGCCUAGAAGCUUUGAGUAAAGCCUUCUGCAGCUUUUGUGACUGUAAACUUAAGCCUGGGCUGAAUUGUCAAAAGAACAGAUUCCCAUGGGAUAGUCAAUAAAUUUGAUCACAUUUUUCUAUAUAUCACAUCUGUGAGCCUCCCUGUUAAAGGAGAAAAAGCCAAACAAACUAGUUUUCAGACUGCCGAACUCUUAAAAUGCGUGAAUCAGAAGAAUAUCAGCAAAAUAUUUCAAAGUAAGAAUUAAUUUCUAGGGUUUUGUGUAGUUUAAUCCAGUAUCUGGUUAUCAUGUCCUGAUAAAUAGUAGUGGAGUAUUUAAUUUCUCUAGCCUCACGCAAUCGUAUUGGCUUUAUUCUUUGAAAGGAUACUUCAGAAGACAUAGCUCCUGAAAAAAAGUAAGGUUUACUCUACAGGGUUUACUGGUCUGGGUAUAAUGUGAUGCUGGCAGUUAGCCUGACAGUUUCUGUAGUUACACUGGUUUGCGUCCAGCCAGGUAGGUACAUGUAGAAGGGUUGCUUCUACCAGUCUGCUAUCUGCAGGUUGCCGUAUCUGACAAAGAAUAAGCUGUGAUUGUAAUGUAUGUGGCAUGGGAGGUCUUGAAAUAAGCUUUUGAUGAUUGGCAGCAGAGGCUGAGUGGCUCUAGCAUAGAGAACUGAAGUGUCUUUCUGAAUUGGGUUCACCUUUAUUUCAGACAAACCAGAAGGGUAAUCAUUUCAUUAUUUCAUAGUAGUGUUAUCAAGAUCUAGAGAAUACUGUUCGUUUGCAUUUGGAAGAGAGUCCAAGUGACUGCUGUGCAUCAGUAAACUUUGGAGUGCUCUAGUAAUUCGUCAUGCUCGACAGGAAGAAAACCAAACUGAAGGAAGUGCGUGUAUAGUGCUUUUAGCAGAGUUCUGGAUUUAGCUGAACUUUACUAUUCAGUUCACUGGCUCGCGUGACAUUAAGAAGACAAGAAAGGUCAGUCAAAUGGCAACAUCAAAAAGGUUCUUAAAUUCCAGGGAUGGCUCUUGACUUUGGCCAGGCUGGGGAAUCUUUAGCUAAUCAUCACGGUAUACCAGUAGGCAAGCACUUUACCUUAGUUAUAAAACAAUGUUCUUUUGAUUUUCAAAUAAUAUGCAGUGGCAUAGCAACAUUCCUGAAUUCCCACCACAAUCAAACAGAAAACAGAUUUUGUAAAUAUGUUACUUAAAAAUUUUAACAGAUUCUAAAAGGCAGAGCCUUUGAUUUGUGUAAAGCUGUUUAUGGUGCUGUUUAAGAUUUGACCUCUACCUUGAUGCUAUUUUAAGUAGGAAUAUAAUUAAUAUUUCUUCCUGGGACUAGGGCCAGCAGGUCAAUAGUUGCUCAGGAAAGGAAAGAUGUUAUACCUAUGUCAAGUAGGAGCUCUACUUUUUGAAGUUCUGCUUAUACCAAGUGGGGUUUCGGUUUGAUAGAUAUGGAGUGGUGAUCAAAACCUUGAAAGUGCAGUAAUGAAGGACUUUUGGAAUUACUUACAUUUGACUUACGAGUUUGGGUUUUUUUAUCUCAGUAGACCUCCUGCAUAGACUCGUAGCCAGUUUGGCAUGCAUUUAUUCGCUAUACCCAACUCUUCUUCACAUGAGCGGUGUUGAAAAUUGUAGUAAGGCUGGCAAGUUUCCAGAGUUAGCAAACCGUUGCAGAAGCACCUUCACUCUUUGAAGAGCAAACAGUAAAGAAUAAAUGAGUCUUUCUCAAAUGUCCACAGAUGGAAAUUAGCCCUGAUCAUUUAUGGAUGGAUGUUAGCAGAAUAGUGGCAUAAAUUAAAAAUACCAAUAAAAUACUAUUCAAGUGAUUUAAUCGAAGGCUUCAAGGCCAGCUAGUUCAAGAAAGAAAAUGAAAAUGAGUAAUUCCAGAGAUGACUGCUGAUUUAACCUGUUGCAAUUAAUACACUUCAGUGCCCUUGAUAUGCCUCCACUUGAUGAAUGCAAUGGUAAUGACUACUGAAUCCAUCAAAAAUAAACAUAUUCAUUGUGGCUGACUUUUGAAUUUAGAACAACCAGGACAGAAAGUUAAGCUAUUGGGCUAAUUCGAGGCACAUCAUCACUGCAGUAGAUAGUAUUUUCAUUUUUUUGCGUAAUGUAUGCCUUUACACACUUAGCGAGAGGGAGCUGGAGUGAAUGGGCAUGACCUACAGGGGUGGUGAAAACCAUUGCUUAACGGAGAGGUUUUCUUAAGUUCCUAAGAGAUAUUUAUGCAUCAGUUCAGUUUUCAGGCUAAACACUUUUUGCAACUGUGAGUGUGUGUGACCACUGAGAUAAACUUUCCUGUACAUGAAUACAGAUUGAUAGUUUCUAGAUAGUGCACCAUGAGCAUUACAUUUGUUACUGCAAGAUAAAAGGCCAAGUUACUCCUUGGAACUACUUUUUUGAUUCUGUGAAACAGCAGUUCCCUCUGCAUUGUAGCAAUUCAAACAGCUGAAUGGGCAGAUCCUGACAAGACUACUUGGUGCCCUUUAAAGAUUUUGUGUGAGCACUAGGCUUAAUUUUUGUUAUGCGGUAGACUAAUAGGUUUCAAUGCCUGUAGAAUCCCUGUGAAUAGAUGCAAACCACAUCUUAAAGCUAAUAUCCUAGAACUCCAAAUACUGAAUCAAUAGCAGUUUUGCUGCUGACAUCAACUGCAGUAUAAAUACAUAAUGAUAAUAGCAGUAUUAAAUCAACUGUUUUAAUGAAAAUUAUAAAAAUCUGAAAGAAAGCUAGAUAGAGAAUAGAAUAUUUCAGUUGGAAGGGACCUACAACCAUCAUCGAAUUCAACUGUCCAACCACUUCAGGGCUGACCAAAAGUUAAAUCAUGUCAUUAAGGCAUUGUCCAAAUGCCUCUUUAAACACCGACAGGCUUGGGGCAUCGACCACCUCUCUGUGAUCAAUAUGCAAUUCAGAAUCCAUAAGAAUCUCUUACAGCUAACUGCACCAAAGUAUUGCACCUUCAUCACAUGGUUCCGUUUUCUAAGGAAAGGCUCUGUAAGACACAACUCAGUGUUUAUAGCAUAGUUACUGGUUUUUAUUUGAUGUGAAACAUACAGAGUUAUUUGGGGGGGGGGGGGGCGGGGAGAACCCCCUUUUUGUCUAUGUCAUUCCAACCAUCUUAAUUUUAAGUUAUAACGGGCAAAUUCCCAACUUUCUGGUAUUCUCUGUUAGAAGCCAAUCCCAAGCCUGUCAUCGUGAUGGUAAGGAGCAGAGUCUUUGGAGAGGCAGCAUCUCAUUUGCAGUGAAUUCCUGGAUGGCUUCUCUUAAAUUGGCUCUUCCCCAGGAGUAGCUUAAAUGUGGUUAUUCAUUUAAAUAGUUUACUACUGGGAAAACAAAGCUCUAUAAAGUACAAGAUCUCAUUUGCAAAGGGGGUCCUGGGGACUGAAAGUGGAUAUACACGUGCCAUGUGUUGCAGCCUCCAUCUUCUGCUUUUCCUGCUGUUAGGAAAUAAUUUGAAAAUUACCUAAAAUAGGAACAAUAUACUCAAUGGCUGAACAAAAGGCACAAAUCUGUCUCCACAGCAGAGCCGGGAGUGGUAGCCUUCAGCAGUAGUUCCUGUAGUCCACAGGAAAAAAAAAACAACAAACAAGGGGUUAUUGGGAGGAACAGCACAGCUUCCUCCCAGGGGGGAUAUCACAGACCCAAGGGAGGGCUUGGCUGUGGCCAUGGCUGCACUAGCAAAAGGGACAUGCCUAGGACCGUUCUUUGGUCAUGAGAGUAUCUGGCACGUAGCAGCUGAUGUCCAUACUGAUUUGAUUAAAAAAAAAAAAAAAAAAAAAGAACAGCUCUCUGCUCUCUUGUGCUCUGAAACAGAGAGGGUGCUCAAAAGUGUCUUUGGAAAUUAUUUCUGGCCAAUGCCAUCUUGGGUCAUGUCUGUGCCCAAAGUAUGUCAAGGAUUGGUUUGACAACAACACAAGUUACUGACUCCCAGUGCAGCCUCUCUUUUCAGAGAUCCCUUGGAACUGUAUAAUAAAAAGAGGCUUGUUUUUUCCCGUCUGAUUUAGGGACAGAAUAAACUAAAUCCUUAUUUCAUUCAUGCUUAUUAAAAGAGCCCAAACCAUGAGUGAUACAAGCUCUAGGGAAACAGUGCUUCUUUCAUGCACAGAAAAUUUCUUUGCUUCGAAUAGUUUCUUGGAUGACAGUAUGGAGACUAUCUUUCAGGAAACACAUUUUAAAACCAUCAACAAGCACAAUGAAUUGCCCUGAAAAUAAUGACCAUCUUACUAAUGACACAUCAGCACUGGCCCUUUUUAUCUGUUGCUUCCUUGAAACAUCAGAGAAUGUUUUAAACACUACCAGAAAGUCCCAUAAUGUGAUGAUAUUUGUUUGAGCAGAACCCAGUAUUAUCUGUAAUUCUAGUUUUAUUGUCCAACAGAAUAAAAAAAAGUCUCAGAAAUAAUUACCUACCUUGUUUUUGUUCGGUCUUGUUAGAUUUUACCCAAUGCUCCGUUCAGACCCUUGUGCAGUCUGUGUUUGGCUGAACCCUUUCUGGAGAGUCUGAAAGACUUCAGAGACACUUUGAAAGUGUGUACACAACUACAGACUGUAGGGGGGAGAAAAGGGAGACCUUUAGAUGUGAUUUUGAUUCUCUUCUGUACUGUAAUGUCUAUGAUUGGAAACUGGCUUAAACAGUUAGUGGUUCGUGCUCUUCUUAGCAUACUAUUAGCAUUGAAAUUUAGUGUCAUGUAGGAGAUCUCUGCGCCAUUAUACAUAAAUGAAGAAGACAAGACUUCUUUUCAGGUAAACUAUGUAACUUCAAAAUAUGCAUGUUUCUCCUAUAUUUUCUUCAGUUUCCCUACGAUCUAUUUGAUCUUAAACACAGAAACUAGCUACAGUCCCCAAAGGAAGGAAUCAAAUGUAAGAAUACAGAUACCACUUCCAAAUUCUAUGACAAACAGUGAUUUGGGUUUUCUAAAUGGAAACACAUUUGUAUUAACAACAAGAUUUUUAUUUUUAAGGGGUAACUAGGAGAAGUGAGCUGAAGUUUCAUACACUUUAUAAAACCAGCAUUUUGUCAUGUUGAUGUUUGUCAUAUCCCUUGAAGAAUGUUUUCUAUUAGUGUCAUGUACAAUUAUGUCUGUUUGAUUAUUAAUGGUUUCAUAAAAAUACAUUUUUUUACCCAUUUUCUGUUUCAUUGUUCGUUCUGUCUGGGAAGGAGAUUUCUUUCUAAAAAGACAAAGAGCCCAGUUGCCUGAAUGUAAUUGUAUUCUCGGUUUACUUUAAGCAGAGAUUUUAGUUGAUCUAAAGUGAAAAAUGUUGUUUUUAUGCUGUAAGCCAAGUGAACAGAAGCUGUGCUUUCCCAUUUUCCCCCUGACUUUAUUACCUAAUUGUUAUUCCUUAUUACAAGGUGUUCGCCAUUAUUUUAUUUAUUUAUUUUGCAGCAGGCUCCUUUUCUUUUACACUUGUUCUAACUGGUAGUAAACCCUUAAUGCCACAGUGACCAAUGGUAAAUCACUGUGUCUGACACUAGGAGACAAAAGAAGCAGGAGGGAUCUGUGAAAAAUGCCUGCAAGAAGCGAAGCACAGUGUGGAUGAAGAUGAUUCACGUCUCUGCAGUGAAUCUUCAGUAAAAGGUAGCAGAGCAGAACCAAAGACCAUUUUCACUCGUCUUGAAUUCAUUUCACCUGAUCUCAAAAGUAUUUCCCUGCUACCCACCAGAGCUUUGAAACAAGCUGCAUGUCUGAGUACUGCUGCUUUUCUUUUUUUUUUUUUUUAAUUCCCAAAAAAGUGGUAGUAAAAAAGGCAGCUAACAGAGGGAGAAGCCGCAAGCAAGUAAUGCAGAGAAGAAACCCAUUUGGCCAUCUGUCCAUCCAUCCCAUGCAACAUUCACAGAUUUUUGUGCAAUCUGAUUUAGAAUAAAAAGUUUUUCAAAAUCAUGUAAUGAUCUUAGAUUCUCGAGUCACUUAAAUGCUUUUGAAAAUGUUGAUAGACUUUGAUGCAUCCGUAUUUAAACAAAGGAAUGUUUAAAAGCUGCUGAUAAGUUUUUAUCUAUUUUUAUGGCUAUUUCAGUUGCUUCCUUGAAAAGUGAGCAUUUUUUUCUUUUAUGUAAGUAUUUUAAUGACUGUGAUUUAGUAAUUUAGGGUUAUCUUAUUCCUGUUCAAGUCUAUGUAAAUCUGCUGGUUGCUUUUAAUGGAGUAGAAUCGGACCUGUUGCCCUUCAUCCUGCAAAGCUAUAGGCACAUGCUUAUGUGAGUCGCUCAAAGUAAAUGCAAGCUUGCACAGACACAACGACAUUGGGCUGGGAGUGACCUCAUGGAUCUCUGUGUUCCCUUCUAGCACAGACAACCACAACCAUCUUACAAGCUGAUUUUCCUUGGGUUUAAACCAGUGAUAGGUCUUGCCCUGUUAAUAUUGCUGAAAAGAUGCUCUCUAUUUUCCUGACUUCCUGGUUGAAACCUUUUCUGGCAUUCCAGCUUGUGUCUGCAAAAGAGACAUGGGAUCAGGCUCUGAGCGUUUUCUGGUUAACUUCAGCUGAAGGUGGAAAAAAUAAACAAUGAUUUUGCCACUGUUGAGGUAUUGAACCUGGAUUCCUCACACGUGGAAAUUUAAAUUUAAUUUCACUGGGGAGCAGAUUACCCUGUUAAAUUCUUUGGGGAGGUGCCUGCAUUUUUCCUAGCUGCUAAAGCUUCAUACAUGUUGCCUAGGGUUUCACAGCUGAGACGUUCCAGAGUUCAUCACCCAGGCCCCCUCUUUUCUUAUGGCAACUGUUUGCUGCUGCUCACGUUUGUGACUGGAUUUUGGAUCCUUCUGAAAAAAUGAAUUUUUCUAAAACUGACCGUAUAGAAGUAAUGCCAUUGAUACUUGUGUGCUACCAUGCUAUGUAAAUUUUAUUACAUGAUUUAGGCUCAUUGUGCUGUUGAAAGAUUAAAAGGGAACUGCUAAGGCCAGUGGGUCUGAAUCUUUGCUACAGAAGCAGUAAUUUACUACCCAGAAAGUGAUAGACAAUUUGGGCUGGCAAUUGUAAUGCCACAGGAAAGUAAAGAAUAGCCCAUUUCCUUUUAUACAAACAGGACAUAAUAUUUUUAUGCUAAGUACUCUGCUUUGCAGACCCAGACAAGAGCCCCUAUGCUUGCAUCUUAAAAGAAUAAGCGCACCAAUAUAAUAUAUGUUACAUUCGUCGAUGCUAUAUAUUGUAAGGUUUUUACUGGAGAAGUGCUUUUGCCUUGCCUUAGUUAGACAAAUAUGGCAUCAACCUUUUUAUUUUGCUACCAUCACUGAUGUUGCAGGUCCUAAUAGCUAGAGGUAGAUUUCUCUACAUGUCAGGGUAAUUGCAGAGAAUAUAGCACAGAGCCAGCCCUGUCUCAGAUCUGCAACUACAGCUCAGGGUGCGAGACAAAGGAGAGAGAGAAAACGUGUGUGUGUGUGAGCACGUGUAGGCAGUUUUAACAGAAGGGAAUUGGCUGGCUCAGAGCUUUGAUUAUCAAACACAGAGAAUUUCAGCUCUGGUCUCUUGUCUGAACCAGUCAGAUCCACAAUAUCCAAAAGUGGUUAUCAGCUGAUGAUUGUUUGAUUGCCCGUGAAGUAAGUAGUUCAAACCCUGCUCCCCCAGCGAGACUCAUCUGGUGUUUGUACACCCAUUCCAGGCGCACCAGAACUGUUUGGAGAGGUUGGUGCCUCCAGGCAGCCCCAAGCUCCUUGUAGCCAUCCCUUUGCUGAAGUGAGGGCUACCUCUCACCAGCCUGCUGCCCAGUUGCUGGUGUAAUUGCUUCCAAAACCACCUCAGUCAAAAUGAGCCAAAUAACCUUAAGAAGUUGAAAUAAUUAGUCUCGGCGAACCUGGGAGGUGCUAUAUGAGCCCACCUGCCAGCAGGCUGGAAGAUCCAGUGACCUGCAGCAGCAGGACAGGAGGAUGGGGCUGGGAUCAGUAACCUGUACAGCCAGCACAGCUGCGCCUGAAAGGGGAUUGAAGGGGAUCUACAAAUACUAAGCUGCUUUCUUCACUCUUGUGACAGCUCCAAACCCAUUCCCAGAGACUGAAUCAGAGUAAGAAAUCACCCGCUUGGCCUUACUCAUUGUCCUUUGAUUUACCUCUUAUGGGUACCAGUCAGUUAAUGAUUGUGGCUUAACCUAAUAAGACUAAACCUUAGUCUCAUUACAAGAACAACCAAAUAAUCAUUGUGUUCUGUGAAAACAGAGGUUGACUCUUAACGUACAAGAGAGUUUGUAAUUCUUUGGUCUACAACAAUGUGAAAGUGCUCAGUGCAGCCAAUAUAAAUACUUGUCCUGGACCAGCCCGAUAAACAGCCGCUCCUGUCGACGUUCCUUACACCUCAUAAAGCGAGUGGGAUGGGGUGUGGGCACUCAUGGUUUCUGCCAGCCCUGCAGCCAGGAUGCCUGACCUGGCUGUGAAAGGGCUGCGGUUCCAGUAGUUUUGACAAGCACCGAAUUCACUGUUAAAUAUUUGAACAAAAAAGAUUUUCUUCUGGUGUCAGUAUUUCUUGGGUUGUAGUUUUGCACUGCUGUUGUAUUAUAGAUUGUUUUCUGUACUAACGGGAUGAGCUUAAAUUUUUGUGCAAGGAAGCAGCAGCAAACCAAGGGACAGGUAUGAGGUGUGGCCCUGAGGUUUUAAUUUCUGGAGCCACUUUUUCAGCACAAGCUGCAGAUAAUAACCAUGUAAUGGAAGUUGUCACCUUUUGGCCUCUGCACCUCUAACCCUCAAAUAAUGGCCAAAAAUGUGAAGUCAUUCAAAUUAAAAGUUUUACAUCUGUCAAGCUAUAAAUACAUAGAAGAGAAGGUCUGUUAUUCAGUCAUGUUAAAAAGAAGUUGAAAAGUCUCUGAACUGGAGCAUGGUCGCCAUUAUAUGAGAAUACAUUUUUAAAGAGCGUAAUCUUAUUUUAAUAAAAUCCUCAGUUUAACCUUAA